rnacentral:miRNA from 1 species
UCUGAUGAAGACAGCCCUGCU